AAUUAUGUGAUUGAUUGUUAACAUUUUUGUCUUCCUUAAUUUUUAAUCUCUCUAUUUUGAAAGUUUCUCUACAUUGAAAAUGUAUAAUUUUUGUAGUGAAAAUUUUUAGAAAAGAAAUGAAGCAGCCAAAUCAGUGGUUAUCUUUGGUUUAUGAGCAUAUAUGCUCAUAAUGAAAAUGCAUUCAUUUUUAUAAUUAGAAAAAAUAAAAAGUAUGAUUAUGGCCAUAAUAUAAUUACCGCCGUAGGGAGUCGCUAACAGAUUUUGGGCGCACAAGUCAAUUAUUCUCACUAGGCCUUUUUCCCCAUUUGAAAAAUGAAGAGUACAGAAAUGGUAAAGUUUCUCACUAAAUAAAAAGUUCCUUCUAAAAUUAUUUCUGAGUUGUGUUACGAUGUGUUAAUAAAUAUAUUUUCUUCUUGUAAAAAGUGUGUAAAUAUGUUCAUUGUAGCAAAGAGAAAAAAUUUUAAAAUUGUAAAACAGUUUACAAUUGUUUACAUAGAUAUUUAACAGUGUUUUUAAUUAUUUGGUUUAGAUAUUCUCUAAGUAUACAUGUAUGUUGCAUGUGCACUCACACUGCUUGUAUGUACUGUAUGAUAAUAUGAAAUAGGACUCUGUAUACUGUCUUGAACCAGAAAUGUCUAAGGAUGUUUGAUUUGUUGAUUUUGCCUUGGGACAUUCUUAAUGGAACAGUUAUUAAAUCCAUUUCAAUGAAAUAUG
rnacentral:lncRNA from 1 species